rnacentral:rRNA from 1 species
UACGCAGGGGGCUAGCGUUGUUCGGAAUUACUGGGCGUAAAGCGCGCGCAGGCGGUCUUCCAAGUCAGUGGUGAAAGCCCGGAGCUCAACUCCGGAACUGCCAUUGAAACUGUAAGACUUGAGGAUGAGAGAGGUGAGUGGAAUUCCCAGUGUAGAGGUGAAAUUCGUAGAUAUUGGGAAGAACACCGGUGGCGAAGGCGGCUCACUGGCUCAUAUCUGACGCUCAGGCGCGACAGCGUGGGGAUCAAACAGG